CAGAAAUAUUGUCAAGAAAAAAAAAAAAAGUUUUUGUUCAGCUGUCUUGGACUAUCGUGUUGCUACAAGAUGAGAGUUAAACAUAUGUCUGAUUCAGUUUUCCCUCACUUCAAAGUCUUACUGUCCUAAAAACAGUAGUAUACAAAGUAUAUACCCUCACUUCAUCACAUGCCAAAUGACUGUCUUAAUAAGAGUAAUAAUGUACAACUGUUAAAUGUGGUGUUUAUUUUAUAAUAGUGCUUGAAUCUAAACGUUAUCAACUUUUAUGGGUUUGUGUGAGAUUCGUGGUUUGAUUUAUCUCCAACUAAAAAUGUUUAUUUUGUUAAAAACACAUAAAUCAAAGGAUUACAAUUUUAGCACUCUAAUUUUAUGUGCG